GUGGGGAAUAUUGCACAAUGGGGGAAACCCUGAUGCAGCCAUGCCGCGUGUGUGAAGAAGGCCUUCGGGUUGUAAAGCACUUUAAUCAGUGAGGAAAGGGUGCAUGUUAAUAGCAUGUAUCUGUGACGUUAGCUGAAGAAUAAGCACCGGCUAACUCCGUGCCAGCAGCCGCGGUAAUACGGAGGGUGCAAGCGUUAAUCGGAAUUACUGGGCGUAAAGCGCACGUAGGCGGCUUUUUAAGCGAGAUGUGAAAUCCCCGGGCUUAACCUGGGAACUGCAUUUCGAACUGGAAAGCUAGAAUAUGGUAGAGGAUAGUGGAAUUUCAGGUGUAGCGGUGAAAUGCGUAGAGAUCUGAAGGAACAUCAGUGGCGAAGGCGACUGUCUGGACCAAUAUUGACGCUGAGGUGCGAAAGCGUGGGUAGCAAACAGG
rnacentral:rRNA from 1 species